rnacentral:rRNA from 1 species
UACAGAGGUCCCGAGCGUUGUUCGGAUUUAUUGGGCGUAAAGGGUGCGUAGGCGGCGGAGUAAGUUGGGUGUGAAAUCCCGGGGCUUAACCUCGGAAUUGCAUUCAAUACUGCUUCGCUUGAGUAUUGGAGAGGAGGCUGGAAUUUACGGUGUAGCAGUGAAAUGCGUAGAUAUCGUAAGGAAGGCCGGUGGCGAAAGCGAGCCUCUGGACAGUUACUGACGCUGAUGCACGAAGGCCAGGGGAGCAAACGGG